rnacentral:misc_RNA from 1 species
CAAUUGGUUUUCAUUUAAUAGCGAAAAAUUUAGCCAAUAUUCUUGGAAAAAAAAUUAUGUACUGGUGGUUAAUAGUGGCUGUACCAUAGAGGAGCCGAUGGAGGGGAAGGAGGACAUUUUUUGGCUAAAAAACAGUUUCGGUAAAUCUCUUUGAACACACAUUCUAAAGAUUUGGCUAGCUGCAGGCUUGGUAGAUUCUCCAGGAGGUAAUAGUCUGUAAAAUCCUAGCAUUUCUGGACAAGAUGAACUUAUCGACCCAAUAUACAUUGGCCUAGAUUCAACUUGGAUAGGCAUUUGUCAUGUUAAAGUUGAUCAAUGCCAUGUGAUAGUUACUCUCUUGUAGAAUCUACCAAGCCUGCAGCUAGCCAAA